CACCCGGUGGGCUGGCAGUGGGACGGGCUGCCAUUCAGCCUCCACACCCUGAUGAGCUGAGCCCCAAGUUCUCCCGCGCCUCACAGUCUCAGCACAUGAAGUCCAGGGUGGACAGGAGGAGACACCUUCACUUCUCCAGGCCCCCGAGGACCCCCACUGCAGGGAGACUCUCCGGAUGAGGCUCUUUAUGUUAUCACUUCCCUGGAAGGAGAGGUAAGACAAAGGCCAUCGCAUCCACUUUACAGACCAGGAACUGAGGACUGAGAGGGUCUACGUGACAGUGGCCAGGCCCAGACAGAACAGCACCCCCAGAAGGGUCUUCACCUGGCUCAGCUGGCCAGGAUCAUGGGGCUGUGGACACAGGCAGGGAAUGUGCAGGGAAAACUCAGGAUAUGAUCCUGGGACCUUCCCUGUGGCUUCAAAAUCAGAGCGCUGCAUUAGCACUGUCGCACUGCAUCUGGCCAGGGCAGGUAGAUUUCUGAAGGCCGGAAAUACCAAUGGGAAAGCUGAAGACAUACAGAGGUGGAGACUGCCAAAGCCUGCCAGCACUUUCUGGGGUCACCACUGAAAACGUUCCACCUGGGCUUGCACGGGUCAACCAA